rnacentral:rRNA from 1 species
AAAAGAAAGGUGGGAUCAAAUAUCUAUGAUUAGUAAGCAUUCUGGAAUGAUGCGUUAUAAAGGGUAAUAGCCCCGUAACUUUUUGAUUUAUUUGAUUCAUAUAGUAAGAUGGAACACGUGAUAUUCUAUCUGAAGAUGGGAGGACCACCUUCCAAGCCUAAAGAUAUCCACAUGACCGAUAGUGAACAAGUACCGUAAGGGAAAGGUGAAAGAGUCAUUAAAUCAGAACCUGAAUCCUAGCGCAAACAUCCAAUUGGAGCUCAUUAGAGUGACAAUGUACCUUUUGUAUAAUGGGUCAGCAACAUUAUUUAUUUAGCCAGCUUAAACUAAGAAGUGUAGGCGUAGCGAAAGCGAGUUUGAAAUAAAGCGAAAAAGUUAAAUGAAUAAAACCCGAAACCAAGUGAUCUAGCCAUGAGCAGGUUGAAAUUAUUGUAAAAGAUAAUGGAGGACCGAACCCGUGUGUGUUGCAAAAUACUGGGAUGACUUGUGGUUAGGGGUGAAAGGCCAAUCAAACUUGGAUAUAGCUGGUUUUCCGCGAAAUAUAUUUAGGUAUAGCGUUGAAAGACAUUUUUAAAUGGAACCGGGGUAGAGCACUCGUUGUACUAGGGGGGGCUAAGCUUCUACCAACUACAAAGAAACUCCGAAUACGGUUCAAAUAGCUUUCAGCAGUCAGAUUAUGGGCGCUAAGGUCCAUGGUCAAGAGGGAAACAGCCCUGAUUGAACGUUAAGGUCUUCAAAUGAUUUCUUAGUGAGUAAGGAUGUUAAAUAGUUUAAACAACCAGAAGGUAGGCUUGGAGGCAGCCAUCCUUUAAAGAAAGCGUAAUAGCUCACUGGUCUAGCNAUUUAGCGCCGACGAUGUAUAGAGACUNAAGAAAUCUACCGAAACGGCAAUUNAAUAUUAANNAUNNAUUNGAGGUAGCGGAACGUUCUGUAAGUCUGNGAAGGNNUGUCGUAAGAUNANGCUGGAGAUAUCAGAAGUGAGAAUGCUGACAUAAGUAACGAUAAAUAAUGCAAGACAUUAUCGCCGUAAGCCCAAGGGUUUCUAGAAGAAAGUUAAACUGAAUAGAUUUAGACGGUCCCUAAGGCCUAAGCGUAAGCUGCAACCGAUGGGAGAUUAUUGAUAAAAUUCAAUAUCUAUCCUUGCAUGACGAAAUAGGUAAAUGGUGAAUGAUCAAUGGAUUUCAUUUGCUGUGAACUAUUUCCAAGAAAAAAGCAGGAUAAAAAAACCGUACCCUAAACCGACACAGGUGGGUGGGUCGAGUAGACUCAGGCGCUUGGGAGAACUACGUUGAAGGAACUCGGCAAAUUGACUCCGUAACUUCGGGAUAAGGAGUACUUCAUUUAGGCCCCCGCCUUUAUGGAGUGACACAAAAUCGGGGGGAACGACUGCUUAACAAAAGCACAGGACUCUGCUAAGUCGUAAGACGCAGUAUAGGGUCUGACGCCUGCCCGGUGCUGGAAGGUGAACAGGAGGUGUAAUUGCACUGAAUCUAAGCCCCAGUAAACGGCGGCCGUAACUCUGACGGUCCUAAGGUAGCGAAAUUCCUUGCCAUUUAAUUGGUGGCCUGCAUGAAUGGCGUAACGAUUCCCCCGCUGUCUCCAACGUAGACCCAGUGAAAUUGAAGUGUCCGUGAAGAUGCGGACUUUAUACGGCUAGACGAGAAGACCCCGUGCACCUUUACUACAACUUUACGUUGUUUGUAUUACUGACAUGUAUAGGAUAGGUGGGAGCCUUUGAAGUAAGAUCGCCAGAUCUUAUGGAGGCGUCCUUGAAAUACCACUCUUGUUUGUUUUUACAACUCACCUGACUAUUGAUACCAAUAGUAGGGACCGCGUAUGGAUGGUAGUUUAUCUGGGGUGGAUGCCUCCUAAAAAGUAACGGAGGCGCUCAAUGGUAAACUCAAACUGGUAUUUAUCAGUUUUAGAGCGCAAUAGCAUAUGUUUGCCUGACUGCAAGACAGACAUGUCGAGCAGAGACGAAAGUCGGAUAUAGUGAUCCGGUAGAGCCUUGUGGAAGGACUAUCGCUCAACGAAUAAAAGGUACGCCGGGGAUAACAGGCUAAUAACUCUUAAGAGCCCAUAUCGAUGGGGUUGUUUGGUACCUCGAUGUCGACUGCACACAUCCUGGAGCUGGAGAAGGUUCCAAGGGUUGGGCUGUUCGCCCAUUAAAGUGUGACCUGAGUUGGGUUCAGAACGUCGUGAGACAGUUUGGUUUCUAUCUACCGUAUACGAAAGAAAAUUGAGAGGAGGCUCUUUUAGUACGAGAGGACCGAAGAGUAUUGACCCCUGGUGUAUCGGUUGUUGUGCCAACAGCAGUGCCGAGUAGCUACGUCAACUAAGGAUAACCGCUGAAAGCAUCUAAGCGGGAAGCUGACCUCAAGAAAUUUUUCUUAGACACGUUAAAGAACAUAACGUNGAUAGGCUNNANGUNUAAGUAUGGUGACAUAUUUAGCCAACAAGUACUAAUAGUCAUGAUUUAGUAUA